UACGUAGGCAGCAAGCGUUGUUCGGAAUUACUGGGCGUAAAGAGUGUGUAGGCGGUGCUCUAAGUUCGGUGUGAAAUCUCCCGGCUCAACUGGGAGGGUGCGCCGGAAACUGGAAUGCUUGAGCGUGGGAGAGGAAAGCGGAAUUCCUGGUGUAGCGGUGAAAUGCGUAGAUAUCAGGAGGAACACCUGCGGUGUAGACGGCUUUCUGGACCAUUGCUGACGCUGAGACACGAAAGCGUGGGGAGCAAACAGG
rnacentral:rRNA from 1 species